UACGGAGGGUGCAAGCGUUAUCCGGAUUCACUGGGUUUAAAGGGUGCGUAGGAGGGCAGGUAAGUCAGUGGUGGAAUCUCCGAGCUUAACUUGGAAACUGCCGUUGAUACUAUCUGUCUUGAAUAUUGUGGAGGUGAGCGGAAUAUGUCAUGUAGCGGUGAAAUGCUUAGAUAUGACAUAGAACACCAAUUGCGAAGGCAGCUCGCUACACAUAUAUUGACACUGAGGCACGAAAGCGUGGGGAUCAAACAGG
rnacentral:rRNA from 1 species